GAUGAACGCUAGCUACAGGCUUAACACAUGCAAGUCGAGGGGAAACGACAUCGAAAGCUUGCUUUUGAUGGGCGUCGACCGGCGCACGGGUGAGUAACGCGUAUCCAACCUGCCCAUCACUUGGGAAUAACCUUGCGAAAGUAAGACUAAUACCCAAUGAUAUCCCACGAAGGCAUCGGAAUGGGAUUAAAGAUUUAUCGGUGAUGGAUGGGGAUGCGUCUGAUUAGCUUGUUGGCGGGGUAACGGCCCACCAAGGCAACGAUCAGUAGGGGAUCUGAGAGGAAGGUCCCCCACAUUGGAACUGAGACACGGUCCAAACGCCUACGGGAGGCAGCAGUGAGGAAUAUUGGUCAAUGGGCGAGAGCCUGAACCAGCCAAGUAGCGUGCAGGAAGACGGUCCUAUGGGUUGUAAACUGCUUUUAUAAGUGAAAAAAGUGGGUCACGUGUGACUUUUUGCAUGUACCUUAUGAAUAAGGACCGGCUAAUUCCGUG
rnacentral:rRNA from 1 species